GAUGAACGCUGACAGAAUGCUUAACACAUGCAAGUCAACUUGAACUUCGGUUUGGGUGGCGGACGGGUGAGUAACGCGUAAAGAACUUGCCUCACAGAUAGGGACAACAUUUGGAAACGAAUGCUAAUACCUGAUAUUAUGAUUAUAUGGCAUCGUAUAAUUAUGACAGCUAUAUGCGCUGUGAGAGAGCUUUGCGUCCCAUUAGCUAGUUGGAGAGGUAACGGCUCACCAAGGCGAUGAUGGGUAGCCGGCCUGAGAGGGUGAUCGGCCACAAGGGGACUGAGACACGGCCCUUACUCCUACGGGAGGCAGCAGUGGGGAAUAUCGGACAAUGGACCAAGAGUCUGAUCCAGCAAUUCUGUGUGCACGAUGAAGUUUUUCGGAAUGUAAAGUGCUUUCAGUUGGGAAGAAAAAAAUGACGGUACCAACAGAAGAAGUGACGGCUAAAUACGUG
rnacentral:rRNA from 1 species